GACGAACGUUGGCGGCGUGCUUAAUACAUGCAAGUCAACUGAAGCAGUGGUAGCAAUAUCGCUGUGGAGGUGGCGCACGGGUGAGUAACACGUAGGUAAUCUGCCUUCAGGUCUGGCAUAACUCCGGGAAACCGGGGCUAAUAGCAGAUGAUGCAGCGGCUCGACAUCGAGACAGUUGUUAAAGCUAUGGCGCCUGAAGAUGAGCCUGCGUCUGAUUAGCUAGUUGGCGGGGUAACGGCCCACCAAGGCAACGAUCAGUAGCUGGUCUGAGAGGAUGAUCAGCCACACUGGAACUGAGACACGGUCCAGACUCCUACGGGAGGCAGCAGUAAGGAAUAUUGCUCAAUGGGAGAAAUCCUGAAGCAGCGACGCCGCGUGAGGGACGAAGGGCGUUUGCUUGUAAACCUCUGUAGUGAGAGAAAAAAAUCCCAAUCUUUGGGACAUGAUGUUAGCUCAAAAGUAAGCCCCGGCUAACUACGUG
rnacentral:rRNA from 1 species